AGCAGCCGCGGUAAUUCCAGCUCCGAUAGCGUAUAUUAAAGUUGUUGCAGUUAAAAAGCUCGUAGUUGAAUUUCGGGGUUAGUAGGUUGGUCGUGCCUAUGGUAUGUACUGGCUUUACUGAUUCCUCCUUCUUGAAGAACUGUAAUGUCAUUAAUUUGGUGUUGCAGGGACACAGGACUGUUACUUUGAAAAAUUAGAGUGUUUAAAGCAGGCUAACGCUUGAAUACAUUAGCAUGGAAUAAUGAAAUAGGACGUUUGAUCCUAUUUUGUUGGUUUCUAGGAUUGACGUAAUGAUUAAUAGGGAUAGUUGGGGGCAUUAGUAUUCAAUUGUCAGAGGUGAAAUUCUUGGAUUUAUUGAAGACUAACUACUGCGAAAGCAUUUGCCAAGGAUGUUUUCAUUAAAUCAAGAACGAAAGUUAGGGGAUCGAAGACGAUCAGAUACCGUCGUAGUCUUAAACCAUAAACUAUGCCGACUAGGGAUCGGAUGAUGUUAAUUUUUAAUGUACUCAUUCGGCGCCUU
rnacentral:rRNA from 1 species